rnacentral:misc_RNA from 1 species
UUUCCGUAGGUGAACCUGCGGAAGGAUCAUUACUGAGUGAGGGCCCCUCGGGGUCCAACCUCCCACCCGUGUUUAACGAACCUUGUUGCUUCGGCGGGCCCGCCGCACGGCCGCCGGGGGGCAUCUGCCCCCGGGCCCGCGCCCGCCGACGCCACCUGUGAACGCUGUCUGAAGUAUGCAGUCUGAGACAAUUAUUAAAUUAAUUAAAACUUUCAACAACGGAUCUCUUGGUUCCG